rnacentral:rRNA from 1 species
AUAUCUAUGGUGGCGACCGGCGCACGGGUGCGUAACGCGUAUGCAACCUACCUUUAACAGGGGGAUAACACUGAGAAAUUGGUACUAAUACCCCAUAAUAUCAUAGAAGGCAUCUUUUAUGGUUGAAAAUUCCGAUGGUUAGAGAUGGGCAUGCGUUGUAUUAGCUAGUUGGUGGGGUAACGGCUCACCAAGGCGACGAUACAUAGGGGGACUGAGAGGUUAACCCCCCACACUGGUACUGAGACACGGACCAGACUCCUACGGGAGGCAGCAGUGAGGAAUAUUGGUCAAUGGACGCAAGUCUGAACCAGCCAUGCCGCGUGCAGGAUGACGGCUCUAUGAGUUGUAAACUGCUUUUGUACGAGGGUAAACGCAGAUACGUGUAUCUGUCUGAAAGUAUCGUACGAAUAAGGAUCGGCUAACUCCGUGCCAGCAGCCGCGGUAAUACGGAGGAUUCAAGCGUUAUCCGGAUUUAUUGGGUUUAAAGGGUGCGUAGGCGGUUUGAUAAGUUAGAGGUGAAAUUUCGGGGCUCAACCCUGAACGUGCCUCUAAUACUGUUGAGCUAGAGAGUAGUUGCGGUAGGCGGAAUGUAUGGUGUAGCGGUGAAAUGCUUAGAGAUCAUACAGAACACCGAUUGCGAAGGCAGCUUACCAAACUAUAUCUGACGUUGAGGCACGAAAGCGUGGGGAGCAAACAGGAUUAGAUACCCUGGUAGUCCACGCGGUAAACGAUGAUAACUCGUUGUCGGCGAUACACAGUCGGUGACUAAGCGAAAGCGAUAAGUUAUCCACCUGGGG